GAUAAACGCUGGCGGCGUGCCUAAUACAUGCAAGUCGAGCGAACGGACGAGAAGCUUGCUUCUCUGAUGUUAGCGGCGGACGGGUGAGUAACACGUGGAUAACCUACCUAUAAGACUGGGAUAACUUCGGGAAACCGGAGCUAAUACCGGAUAAUAUUUUGAACCGCAUGGUUCAAAAGUGAAAGACGGUCUUGCUGUCACUUAUAGAUGGAUCCGCGCUGCAUUAGCUAGUUGGUAAGGUAACGGCUUACCAAGGCAACGAUGCAUAGCCGACCUGAGAGGGUGAUCGGCCACACUGGAACUGAGACACGGUCCAGACUCCUACGGGAGGCAGCAGUAGGGAAUCUUCCGCAAUGGGCGAAAGCCUGACGGAGCAACGCCGCGUGAGUGAUGAAGGUCUUCGGAUCGUAAAACUCUGUUAUUAGGGAAGAACAUAUGUGUAAGUAACUGUGCACAUCUUGACGGUACCUAAUCAGAAAGCCACGGCUAACUACGUGCCAGCAGCCGCGGUAAUACGUAGGUGGCAAGCGUUAUCCGGAAUUAUUGGGCGUAAAGCGCGCGUAGGCGGUUUUUUAAGUCUGAUGUGAAAGCCCACGGCUCAACCGUGGAGGGUCAUUGGAAACUGGAAAACUUGAGUGCAGAAGAGGAAAGUGGAAUUCCAUGUGUAGCGGUGAAAUGCGCAGAGAUAUGGAGGAACACCAGUGGCGAAGGCGACUUUCUGGUCUGUAACUGACGCUGAUGUGCGAAAGCGUGGGGAUCAAACAGGAUUAGAUACCCUGGUAGUCCACGCCGUAAACGAUGAGUGCUAAGUGUUAGGGGGUUUCCGCCCCUUAGUGCUGCAGCUAACGCAUUAAGCACUCCGCCUGGGGAGUACGACCGCAAGGUUGAAACUCAAAGGAAUUGACGGGGACCCGCACAAGCGGUGGAACAUGUGGUUUAAUUCGAAGCAACGCGAAGAACCUUACCAAAUCUUGACAUCCUUUGACAACUCUAGAGAUAGAGCCUUCCCCUUCGGGGGACAAAGUGACAGGUGGUGCAUGGUUGUCGUCAGCUCGUGUCGUGAGAUGUUGGGUUAAGUCCCGCAACGAGCGCAACCCUUAAGCUUAGUUGCCAUCAUUAAGUUGGGCACUCUAAGUUGACUGCCGGUGACAAACCGGAGGAAGGUGGGGAUGACGUCAAAUCAUCAUGCCCCUUAUGAUUUGGGCUACACACGUGCUACAAUGGACAAUACAAAGGGCAGCGAAACCGCGAGGUCAAGCAAAUCCCAUAAAGUUGUUCUCAGUUCGGAUUGUAGUCUGCAACUCGACUACAUGAAGCUGGAAUCGCUAGUAAUCGUAGAUCAGCAUGCUACGGUGAAUACGUUCCCGGGUCU
rnacentral:rRNA from 1 species